AGACAAUGCUACACACUGGCCUAAGUUAGUUUGUUCCUUUUCAAGUGGAAGCAAAAUUUUAUGUCUUCUGUUUUCACUUAGGAUGCUUGUUUACAGGAUGAAUACAUACGUGCAUAUUUCCUUUCCUCUUCCUUUUACUAUACAUGCGAGAGUUUUUCAGUUUCAUGUCGUGUUGGAAUUCUUCUAGAUAGCCAAUCGUGACUGAAAAAGUAUAUCCAAGAUAAAAUAAUUUGAUUCCAAGAUAGCCGAGUUAACAAGGUUCUGCUGUAGUUUCUUUUACUAUAGUCAAAUCCCUUGGGCAAUACGUUUACUGUCCAAACCUCCUUUCUGACUCAUUUAUUAUAUCUCAGUUUUGCUCACAGAAUUUGACCAUGUUGCGAUUUCCGUACAGGGGUCCAUAUCUACUGACACCAAUUUUUAUUUUCCGUUCAUUCCAUCAGAUGGUUAUUACAGAGACCAGGCGGAUUGACACCACUUGGAUUGUUAACGGUGAACUGACUGAUCGUUCUGCACUCAGUGACCAGUUAUCAGAUUUUUGUGCACAGUAUCCGAUAUACCACGUGAAAAAAGCGUAAGAGAGUCUGGAGGUGACAGGAAUCGAAACAAAAGAAAGAGCACAUCGUGCUCGGAGAGAACAACCAUGGACCUUCAUGACGGUGAACCUUUGUGCCAUUGGGGCAUGGACCUGAAUACUGCCUACCAAAAAUGUCCCAAGCCUGAAUGGAAACUGCACGAAUACCACAGCUGUGUCAAAUACGUCGAGUGCAGUGAUGAUAGUGGCAAGUCAUAUGACCAAGGCUGCAUAACUUUUCACGACUAUCGCUUUCUUGUGUGCUACGAGUUUAUUUGCGAGAACAACAAUAUGGAUCAAGAUGAUCAUCAACAAUAUGGGUCUGGGUCAGACCAAGGGUCUGGGGAGGAGUCUGGUUAGGGUGGAUCAGGCGAUGUUUUGGAACGACUGUAAUCAGAUUGGAUCCGGCAAUGUCAGGUCAAAUGCAGUUCCUCUUUUCCCUUAGUUCGUCGUCCGAAAAGAAAAAGACUUGAAGGAAGAAUUGACCGCGCAAAAACUGGGGAUAAGCUGCCCAACUCGCCCCAGGCAACCACGCGGAUAGCUGUAGAGACGAGGUCGCUCUCACUUUUGGCGCGGUCUUUAUUUCCUCUCGCCCGCCUCUUUUAAUUCGACGAAGGAAAGGGUAAAAAAAUAACUGCUCAGAGUAAAUGUGUUUUCGGAUAGGAUAUGCUAUUUUCAUAUCCUGGAUUUGACUGAUUUUUUUGGCGUAAAACGUGAUUUUCUUAAACGUGAUUCAGUUUUCAGUUCGCAUUGAAUUGUGAUUUUGUAGCCAUCGGCAGGAAUUCCGUGAACUAAAUAAAAUAUGAAAACUCUAGUUUCAUUUUGAAUAAAGAAUGUUCGACAAAAAGAA